rnacentral:rRNA from 1 species
GAUGAACGCUAGCGGCAGGCUUAAUACAUGCAAGUCGUACGGGAUCCGAGGUAGCAAUACCUUGGUGAGAGUGGCGCACGGGUGCGUAACACGUAUGCAACCCACCUAUAACCGGGACACAACCUCGAGAAAUUGUGGCUAAUAUCCCAUAACACUGCGAAAUGGCAUCAUUUUGCAGUUAAAACUCCGGUGGUUAUAGAUGGGCAUGCGCGACAUUAGCUAGUUGGUGAGGUAACGGCCCACCAAGGCUACGAUGUCUAGGGGUUCUGAGGUGAUUCACCCCCACAGUGGUACUGAGACACGCACCAGACUCCUACGGGGGGAAGCAGUAAGGAAUAUUGGUAAAUGGGCGCAAGCCUGCACCAGCCAUGCCGCGUGAAGGAUGACGGCCCUAUGGUUUGAAAACUUCUUUUCUACGGGAAAAAACCCCCGGUCGUGUAUCGGUGCUGAUGGUACCGUAAGAAUAAGCACCGGCUAACCCCGUCCCAGCCGCCGCCGUAA